GAUGAACGCUGGCGGCGUGCCUAAUACAUGCAAGUCGAGCGAACAGACGAGGAGCUUGCUCCUCUGACGUUAGCGGCGGGCGGGUGAGUAACACGUGGAUAACCUACCUAUAAGUCUGAGAUAACUUCGGGAAACCGGAGCUAAUACCGGAUAAUAUCUUGAACCGCGUGGUUCAAUGGUAAAAUACGGUUUUGCUGUCACUUAUAGAUGGAUCUCGGCCGCAUUGGCUAGUUGUUAAGGUGACGGGUUACCAAGGCAAGGAUGCGUAGCCGACCUGAGAGGGUGAUAGGCCACACUGGAACUGAGACACGGUCCAGACUCCUACGGGAGGCAGCAGUAGGGAAUCUUCCGCAAUGGGCGAAAGCCUGACGGAGCAACGCCGCGUGAGUGAUGAAGGUCUUCGGAUCGUAAAACUCUGUUAUUAGGGAAGAACAAAUGUGUAAGUAACUAUGCACGUCUUGACGGUACCUAAUCAGAAAGCCACGGCUAACUACGUG
rnacentral:rRNA from 1 species